UCCGGACUAGCUCAACGGUAGAGCAGGCGGCUGUUAACCGCAAGGUUCAGGGUUCGAAUCCCUGGUCCGGAGCCA
rnacentral:tRNA from 1 species